rnacentral:rRNA from 1 species
UCCGUAGGGGGCGAGCGUUAAUCGGAAUUACUGGGCGUAAAGCGUGCGCAGGCGGUUAUGUAAGACAGAGGUGAAAUCCCCGGGCUCAACCUGGGAACUGCCUUUGUGACUGCAUGACUAGAGUACGGCAGAGGGGGAUGGAAUUCCGCGUGUAGCAGUGAAAUGCGUAGAUAUGCGGAGGAACACCGAGGGCGAAGGCAAUCCCCUGUGCCUGUACUGACGCUCAUGCACGAAAGCGUGGGGAGCAAACAGG